AACAAAAUCCUCCUACAGUGGCUUUCUGUUGCUAAAUCCUUACGCUGGGCCUGGAUACCCAACCAUACCUUCGAUCUCCAACGUACUCUAAAUCCCCAUCUUCAAUCUAGGUCGAGUUUUGAAAUUUGAAUACUGUUGCUGCUGAUUUUUCUGUGUAUAAUCUCAGUUUCAAUCGACUCAGAGACACUAUCGGAUCUAACCGUUCUCUCCAGCAGUGGCUUUCGCUCCACCAAUUUGUCAUUGAUUUCCCUGCACUUCGUGUUAUCAAGUGCGACUUUCACUUAGCUAUCACUCCCAAAGAUUACGUGUUUUGCCUGGAAUUACUUAGUAGCUUGACAUGGGAAAAGAACAAUCCCAGCCUCCUUGCCAAACAGAUGUGGAUCCAGAUAGAAUCAGUUGCUUACCAGAUCAUGUAAUAGAUCAAAUUCUCUCAUAUUUGCCGAUUAGGAAGCAGUGGGAACAAGUAUUUUAUCCAGAACAUGGAGGUACAAAUGGGCCACACUACCAAAUCUCCGGUUUUUUUACAUUGAAGGUAAUUUUGAGGAUAUUAGCUUUGAGAACACUUUCCGAUUGGCUGUGGUAUCCAUUGGUUUGGAUGUGACCUUUGAAAACAAUCAGCGUGGAGGUUCUAGCAAUUUGCUCAAUUUUUUUGUUCAUCUACCUCACAUACGAAGGCUGGAGAUUCAAAGCUAUUUUUCAAAGGUACGAUGCUCAUAGUAUCACAUUGUCAGAGCAAUUCAUAUAGAUCUGUGAAUAAUAUCUGUCCAAAGUUUUGAGCAUUUGAAGAAUUGCCCGAUGCUAGUUUUUUGCGAAUAAAUUUAAAAUGAACAACACUCUUGUGCAUGCAACUCUUGAUCUGUAAGUAUCAAAUACACUAUAUAAUGAUUUAGAGCCAUAAUUUUGUUUUCUUCUUUCUGUUCCAGUAUUUGGCAGUAGGGGUUGUGCCACCAAAGCUUCCUAGACCAUGCAUUGAUCUAAGUUUUCUUUCCAUUCGCAUAAACUUCAAUGAUUCGAAGGAAAUCUCAGCUGCUCUGUGCCUGUUACGAAGCUCACCUAAUCUACAAGAACUAGAAAUAUUGGUGAAUACUCAUUAGUCAUUAUAAGUUUAGUGUGAUUUGAUUUUGCCAGGCUAAUUAGCGGGUUCACAUAUAGAUUUUGUUAUUUAUAUGAAGUUAUUAAGCUAUAUCGAAUUUGCAAAGUUUUUUAGCUUUGAGCAGAGUUGUCUGGUCUCUUUCAAGUUCUGGAUCUAGUCUUGGGAGUUUCUUAGAUUUUUACCCUUGUGAGUUACAAUUGCUUGUAGGCUCGAACUGAGGAGGAGACUGUUCUAUUUAAACGCAACUAUUGUUGGGAAGAUGACCGGUUGAGCUGUCCAGUUCCAGUCAUGCAUUUGCGAUAUGUGAGGAUACAUGGCAUCACUGGUGUUAAAUCUGAAUUAGAUUUUAUCAGCUUUCUACUUCUACAUUCUCCUGUGCUAGAAAGGAUGACUGUGAAGGCUGUGUUAAACGGCAUGUUAGAGUUGAUGUUGAUGAAAGAACUAUUGCAGUUCAGGAGAGCUUCACCACAAGCUGAGAUUAUUUUUCAGGAAUCUUCUUAAUGCUUUUCUUUUUGGUGAAUGUAUACCAUCCCCCGACUUAUUUUGUUUGACUUACACUUAACUGAUAACUAUUUAAGUCAUGGCAUUCAAUGAUAGGAAGAAGCUAUCGUGUGUUUAAAAACAAAGCUUUAUGUACAUUUUAUGAUAGGAAGAAGCUGCUGCGAUGUUUAAUACUAAUACCUAAGCUCUCAUUACAGUUGAGAUGUUAUCAAAAAGUUUUUUC